AACGAACGCUGGCGGCAUGCCUAACACAUGCAAGUCGAACGAGACCUUCGGGUCUAGUGGCGCACGGGUGCGUAACGCGUGGGAACCUGCCCUUAGGUUCGGAAUACCUCCCCGACAGGGGUGCUAAUACCGGAUAAUGUCUGCGGACAAAAGAUUUAUCGCCUUUGGAUGGGCCCGCGUUGGAUUAGCUAGUUGGUAGGGUAAAAGCCUACCAAGGCGACGAUCCAUAGCUGGUCUGAGAGGAUGAUCAGCCACACUGGGACUGAGACACGGCCCAGACUCCUACGAGAGGCAGCAGUGGGGAAUAUUGGACAAUGGGCGAAAGCCUGAUCCAGCAAUGCCGCGUGAGUGAUGAAGUCCUUAGGGUUGUAAAGCUCUUUUACCCGCGAUGAUAAUGACAGUACCGGGAGAAUAAGCUCCGGCUAACUCCGUG
rnacentral:rRNA from 1 species